GAUAAGAUGGCUGAAUUUUAGGCUAUAAAUUGUAAAUUUAUAUAUGGUGUUAACCUCUUAUCA
rnacentral:tRNA from 1 species